rnacentral:lncRNA from 1 species
CAGUAUGCAGCCACAGUUAAGAAGCAAUACCAUAGAGCAUGAAAAUUGAAGGUAUGGAUAUGAAUGAGAUCAGCAGGUGGUGGAGUAUGUAAAUACACACUGUAGAAUCGUGAAUCAGCGAAGUAGACAAACAGGAGACCACAGAGAGGUAGGAAAAACUGAUAUCAUAUUAUAAUUAAUUGAGAGAAUGAGUGUUGAAAAAGGGGAGCUAGUUUGUGCGAACUAGUUUUUGGAAAAGAAGUGGUCUGGGGGCUGAGG